rnacentral:rRNA from 1 species
GACGAACGCUGGCGGCGUGCUUGACACAUGCAAGUCGAACGGAAAGGCCUGCUUUCCCUUGUGGAUUGCGGGUACUCGAGUGGCGAACGGGUGAGUAACACGUCAGUGAUCUGCCCCCAACUUGGGUAUAAGCCUGGGAAACUGGGUCUAAUUCCCGAUAGGACUGCAUGGUGGUGCCUGUGGUGGAAAACGUUUUUCUAGUGGUUGGGGAUGAGCUCGCGGCCUAGCUGCUUGGUGGGGGGGUAAUGGCCUACCAAGGCGGCGACGGGUAGCCGGCCUGAGAGGGUGGACGGUCAAAUUGGGACUGAGAUCCGGCCCAGACUCCUACGGGAGGCAGCAGUGGUGAAGAUUGCACCGUGGGCGGAAGGCUGAUGCAGCGACGCGGCGUGGAGGAUGUCGGCCUUCGGGUUGUCUACUCCUUUCGACGACGAAGAAGGCACCUGGUUGGAAGGGUGGUGACGGUAGUGGUAGAAGAAGCACCGGCUAACUACGUG